rnacentral:misc_RNA from 1 species
GAAGAGUUGAAGAGAAGCAAGAUGGUAAGAUACCCUCCAAAUAUUUCUCUAACCACAUUGUGUUGAUGAAUAUUGAUGUCACCUGUAGUUCAUCACCAAUAGUUCUUCACAUGAGCUUACAUUAGUAUUUCUUUUAAUAGUUUCCAACAAAUGGUUGGUUGAUUUCUGAUUCCUCCAUUUUUCAGAUUUAACAUUUAAAGGGUCAAUUACCGUCCCUGUUACCUUUUUCAAUAUUUUUGUCCAUCACUUUUUGGGCUGAUACUCAUGAGUAGAGGGCGAAAAAAGAAAAUAGUGUGAAAGA